rnacentral:rRNA from 1 species
AGGUGGUUUGUCGCGUUGUUCGUGAAAUGCCACAGCUUAACUGUGGGCGUGCGGGCGAUACGGGCAGACUGGAGUACUGCAGGGGAGACUGGAAUUCCUGGUGUAGCGGUGGAAUGCGCAGAUAUCAGGAGGAACACCGGUGGCGAAGGCGGGUCUCUGGGCAGUAACUGACGCUGAGGAGCGAAAGCGUGGGGAGCGAACAGGAUUAGAUACCCUGGUAGUCCACGCCGUAAACGGUGGGUACUAGGUGUGGGUUUCCUUCCUUGGGAUCCGUGCCGUAGCUAACGCAUUAAGUACCCCGCCUGGGGAGUACGG